rnacentral:rRNA from 1 species
GAUGAACGCUGGCGGCGUGCCUAAUACAUGCAAGUCGAGCGAACAGACGAGGAGCUUGCUCCUCUGACGUUAGCGGCGGACGGGUGAGUAACACGUGGAUAACCUCCCUAUAAGACUGGGAUAACUUCGGGAAACCGGAGCUAAUACCGGAUAAUAUUUUGACCCGCAUGGUUCAAUAGUGAAAGACGGUUUUGCUGUCACUUAUAGAUGGAUCCGCGCCGCAUUAGCUAGUUGGUAAGGUAACGGCUUACCAAGGCAACGAUGCGUAGCCGACCUGAGAGGGUGAUCGGCCACACUGGAACUGAGACACGGUCCAGACUCCUACGGGAGGCAGCAGUAGGGAAUCUUCCGCAAUGGGCGAAAGCCUGACGGAGCAACGCCGCGUGAGUGAUGAAGGUCUUCGGAUCGUAAAACUCUGUUAUUAGGGAAGAACAAAUGUGUAAGUAACUAUGCACGUCUUGACGGUACCUAAUCAGAAAGCCACGGCUAACUACGUG